rnacentral:misc_RNA from 1 species
GCAAACUUGGUCAUUUAGAGGAAGUAAAAGUCGUAACAAGGUUUCCGUAGGUGAACCUGCGGAAGGAUCAUUACCAAAUACACCGGCCGCGAGGCCAGCCAGAAGCGCUGGGGGGGCACCUUCCUCCCGCGCCGAAGGUAUACCCUUUGUGAAAACCCCUUGUUGCUUCGGCGGCGCUUCCUCCCCAGCGGGGAAGGUCAGUCCGCCGGCGGCACCUUCUGAAACCCUUUCUUGAAUAAUAAGCCGUCUGAAAACCAUGGUCGAAUGACUAUAAAACUUUCAACAACGGAUCUCUUGGUUCCCGCAUCGAUGAAGAACGCAGC